rnacentral:rRNA from 1 species
AGCAGCCGCGGUAAUUCCAGCUCCAAUAGCGUAUAUUAAAGUUGUUGCAGUUAAAAAGCUCGUAGUUGAAUUUCGGGAUUGACGUGACGGUCGUGCCUUAAGGGGUAUGAACUGUUACAGUCAAUUUCUCACCUUCUGGAGAAAUAUGAUGUCCUUAAUUGGGUGUCAUAUGGAACCAGGACUUUUACCUUGAAAAAUUAGAGUGUUUAAAGCAAGCUUAUUGCUCGAAUACAUUAGCAUGGAAUAAUAAAAUAGGACGGCAUGAUUCUAUUUUGUUGGUUUCUAGGAUCACCGUAAUGAUUAAUAGGGAUAGUUGGGGGCAUUAGUAUUCAAUUGUCAGAGGUGAAAUUCUUGGAUUUAUUGAAGACUAACUACUGCGAAAGCAUUUGCCAAGGAUGUUUUCAUUAAUCAAGAACGAAAGUUAGGGGAUCGAAGACGAUCAGAUACCGUCGUAGUCUUAACCAUAAACUAUGCCGACUAGGAAUCAG